rnacentral:rRNA from 1 species
UAGUUACUAUAGCAAAGAAGAUACACCUGUUCCCAUUCCGAACACAGAAGUUAAGCUCUUUAGCGCCGAUGGUACUUGGUGGGAAGCUGCCUGGGAGAGUA